rnacentral:rRNA from 1 species
GAUGAACGCUAGCGGGAGGCCUAACACAUGCAAGCCGAGCGGUAUUUGUCCUUCGGGACAGCGAGAGCGGCGUACGGGUGCGGAACACGUGUGCAACCUGCCUUUAUCUGGGGGAUAGCCUUUCGAAAGGAAGAUUAAUACCCCAUAAUAUAUCGAAUGGCAUCAUUCGAUAUUGAAAACUCCGGUGGAUAGAGAUGGGCACGCGCAAGAUUAGAUAGUUGGUGAGGUAACGGCUCACCAAGUCAGUGAUCUUUAGGGGGCCUGAGAGGGUGAUCCCCCACACUGGUACUGAGACACGGACCAGACUCCUACGGGAGGCAGCAGUGAGGAAUAUUGGACAAUGGGUGAGAGCCUGAUCCAGCCAUCCCGCGUGAAGGACUAAGGCCCUAUGGGUUGUAAACUUCUUUUAUACUGGGAUAAACCUACUUACGUGUAAGUAGCUGAAGGUACAGUAUGAAUAAGCACCGGCUAACUCCGUG